rnacentral:tRNA from 1 species
AGUUUUAUAGUCAAAAAAAAAAAUGAUUUUAAAUUGCAAAUUUAAAGGUGUAUAAAUACUAAAACUU